rnacentral:lncRNA from 1 species
AUUCUUCAGCUUCCUGGGUGUUAAGAAGCAGUAGUGACUGUGGCAGCUUCUUGAUCAAACUCAGAAAUCCCUAGAUCACAGAUUAAGGUGUCCACAUUCAGGCCAUGGCCUUGGUGCCAGGCCUAGCCUGGCUCCAGUGGCCUCAGACCCAGCAGCUUCCUUGGUAGACUGGCCCAGUAGAGUUGUUCACUCCAAGAUGUCCAGCCCAGAGCUGUUUCUCCAGGCCUUCCACCGAUUUGCCACAUAAAUAUAAGAAAAUGAAAUUAUAUGGAGGAUGGCCGUGCGUUCUAGGAUGAGAAGAUAAGAAGAGUACAAUUUAAAAACAAAAGUCUAAGGAGUAAUUCAUGUCUAAACUUAUUGAAGUUCAUAAAUAAUUUGUCCUGAUUUUCAGAAGAAAGAGAGAACUUCUGAACAUAACCACACAGGACCUACAAAAAGAUAGCUGCACAAAAACUGGUUAAUAAUGUUGUGAGCUGCCAUGAUAGCAUCGGAGGACUAGAAAGAAUGACAAACUGCUCCUACCAAGUAACGAGUCUUCUGCUCCUUUCUUUUAGUUUCCCUGCCUCCUGCCUGGAACCUGGAAGACCCAGAGAAGGGUGGGGAGUAAAGAACAGACCAGCCUUCUCCGCACUGCAGUUUGUUGAGGCAUUGAUCUGGCCAAAGCUGGAUGUAUGGAGGCAGAAAGUGUUCAUUCAUUUUUUAAAUUUUUCAUUUCAGAAUUAUUGCUUGUCUGCUAUGGACCUAACACUGUUCUAAACAUUGGGGCUGGUAAUCCUCCAUUAUCUGUGGGAGAUACAUUCCAAGAUCCACAGUGGAUGCUUGAAACUGAGGAUAGUAUAAAACUCUAUGUAUACUAUGUUUUUUCCUACACAUACAUACAUACUAUGAUAAAGUUUCAUUUAUAAAUUAGGUACAGUAAGGGAUUAACAACAAUGAAUAAUAAUAAAAUAGAACAAUUAUAAAAAUAGACUGUAAUAAAAGGUGAAUAUGGUC